AUGCUUUCUCCUCAGGGAGAGCAGGGACCAGCGGGUGAGCCUGGUGAGAGAGGAACAAGGGGCCCACUGGGGUUACCGGGACGACCAGGGGACCCAGCAGAGAAAGGAGAUACCGGGAACAUUGGUUUGCCUGGAACGGAGGGAAAGAAAGGAGAGCCUGGAAAACCAGGACCUCCGGGAGGCGCGCAAUUCAGUUCAGACAACAAUAUCCUGACUAGGGUGAUCAAGGGUGAACCAGGACAUCCCGGAGAGCCCGGUCUCAGAGGGGAGACAGGUCUGCCUGGACAAAGGGUGAGUGUGCUACUUAGAGGUCACAGGUCAUGUUUGGCAGGUCAUGGUAAUAAUAGCACUGUAUUCUUCUCUCUGUAGGGUCCUGAUGGAAAACCAGGAUCUCCAGGAACGGUAUGACCACAUGAGUAACAAUGAAGAGCUCUGUCGCUAAGUUGUAUCGCUAAGACUUUUCAAACGUUCUGUGAACAGGCUGAUAGAAGCUAUGCAUGUAAUACCCACAACGUUGAAUGACCUCUAAAUAACUGUGACCUACAGGGUGAAGGUUGAGGGCUUAUAUUGGUAUUACAUUGUUGUAACUGAUGUUUACAUCUGACACCUGAUAACAUGUUUGACAGGGAGGGUCUGGGUCAGGGAGAGAUGGUCUGGAUGGGUUACCAGGAAAACCUGGAUCCAAGGUUUGGACACCUCAUUCCCUCACUUCCUUUCACAUCUGUUGUUGUUUUUCUAAUGUGAACACACACAAACAUACACGUACAUAGACUAGAUGUAUUGUUGUAGUUUGUCAGCAUAACAGAACCAUUAUCACAGUAAGAGUUCACAUUGACAAAAUUGGGUGUUGAUCGUUCAAUCCAUAAAAAGUUGUAGCAGAUAAUCAAGGUGUUGUGCUUUGAAUGGUUUCCUGUCUGCAGGGUGACCCAGGAAAGACAGGCGAGCCAGGAACGGUGAGUGCAGUAUUCAUACCCUUUGAAUAAACACAUUUUGCUCUGAUUCCUUUAAUCAGAGGAUAACUGCAGUCCUACAGAGCGACAGGGUGUGUUUAAAGCCCAGCUCUGAUAAACCUGAUUAAACCAAUUGUGGUUUAAAUUAAAGGCCGUUGUUAGCUGAUGAUCAGUUGAUUCAGUGAGUGUUACUGCUUGGUGAGACAAACCCCUGCAUUGGCUGUGGUUCUCUAGGACUACAGCAGUUUCCCUCUUGCAUUACACUACAUUACAUUGAUUGAUGAUGUGCAUGGACUAACCAAGUACUUCAGAAGAUGUUUUGGGUUACGUUGGGAUUAGACAGUCAAGCUAGCUCACAAUGUUUUUCUAAGUUAUAUUCUUCAAGAAUCAAACAGUAGGUAUUAUUCAUUUAAAUGAUCAAAAACCAUACAGUUGGUGGUGUGACUUUCAUAAUUUACACGUUUAAGGCUUCUGAUGAGAAAGCCUUCUGCUGUGCAUAGUAUGUGGACUUCUUUCAGCAGGAACUUGUCACAGGUUCACCUACUGUAUAGGGGAUUGGUGAUUACAGCCUAUUCAUUGAACAUUAUGUACUAGCAAUGUUGUACUAGGUUGAUGAUUGUUAGUCAUCCAUGAGUCAUUUAACAAUAUCAUAAUGUAUACAGAGG
rnacentral:lncRNA from 13 species